ensembl:lncRNA
AAAGAAUAGAAAAAGAAUAACACAAGGAAUAAAAUACACAUUGAAUAACGAUAACUUGGCUAUAUACACGGAGUAACAGUACCUAGUCGGUGUGCAGAGGUACGGGGUAAUUGAGGUCGGUAUGUACAGUACAUGUAGCCAGUAGAACAGAUGGCAGUGGGAGUUUACUCCCUCGCCUACGGAUUCUCAGAAGGCAGCCCGACCUGCGCCCCCUUUUCCUCCGUCUUCUCUUCACCCAAAUGACGGGGAUUUGGGCCUGUUCCCGGGAAAGCAGUAUGUCCUUCUCGUCGGACUCGAUAAAGGAAAAAGCUUCUUCCAGUUCGAGAUUGCUGUCAUCUUGCCGUUUUCCUGCUUCACCUCAUCGAGCUGACCCUGGGAGAACUGCAAACUGUUCUUCAAGUCCUGGACCUCUCUGGUCAGGUCGUUUAUUAGUUGAAUCGACCAGUAUUUGGACAAAACACUUGAAGCUAUUUUCUUGUUGUUCUAAUAACUGCGUGUUGAACUCUUUUUGUUUGUUUAAAGAAGUUCACCUGUGAUAGAGAGACUCCACUGUCCUCAACGGUACUACCGCCGGCUUUUAUCUUUGUCAUGGUAGCUAGCAACGUAGUUUACGCUGUUACUCCUCGCAGUUCCAGACAGUGCAGGUCAUAGGGAAGAUUGAACACAAUAAACAGCAGGGAUCUAGACAGCCACAAACCCGGAACAAUCCGCGGUCCCAGACACAAUGGCUAACCUUGUCGCAGGCUGACCAAUCGGAAUCCACGCUUCAAGAUUGUUUUGAUCACGCGGACUGGGAUAUGUUCCGGGUAGCCUCCAAGAAUAAUAUUGACACAUAUAUUGAUAUGGUGACUGAGUUUAUUAGGAAAUGUAUAUGAGAUGUUGUACUCACUGUGACUAUUUAAAACCUACCCAAAUCAGAAACCGUGGAUAGAUGAAAGCGUGAACCAUCGCAUUUAACCAUGUGUUACGGAUACAAGUAUUCUGUGUGUGUAUCCUGUGUGUGUUUCUUUUCUCUCCUUCUCCCCUCACAGGUGAAAAUCAUCACUCCCCAAUCAGACAACAAUCAAUCAUCAAUCAGAAGACACACCUCCUCCUAUUUCCUACCCUAUCACAGUUCCUUUCCCUUGGUUUAAUUAAAAACCCCAUCAUUUGUUUGCUCUAGAGCUCAAUCUCUCUGUAAAUGCCAUGUCUGUAGGUCUCUGUGUUUCACUCUCGCUUUGUGUCUUAACCUCUCUUUUGUUUGAGCACCUCCAUAGCACUUUGUCAUCACCUGUGAGUAUUGUUUUUGGUUAUGGUGUUUGUUUGUGCUGGUGGGAAAAGGGGGAAACCAAGACAAGUCGCCCAUGGGCAUACACUACCCGUAGGUGAACUUUGUUAAAUACACUAGUUAGAACUGGGCGGACCACCCACUGUAUUUUUGGUUAGUUAGUUAGCUGUUGUUAAAGUAGGCUAGUCUAGCUUAGAAGUGUUUUUGUAUAUUGUUUCUUUCCUUGGG